AUUGAACGCUGGCGGCAUGCCUAACACAUGCAAGUCGAACGGCAGCAUGACCUAGCUUGCUAGGUUGAUGGCGAGUGGCGCACGGGUGAGUAAUGCGUAGGAAUAUGCCUUGAAGUGGGGGAUAACCUGGGGAAACUCAGGCUAAUACCGCACGAGCUCUAAGGAGGAAAGCUGGGGACCGAAAGGCCUGGCGCUUCAAGAUUAGCCUACGUCCGAUUAGCUAGUUGGUAGGGUAAAGGCCUACCAAGGCGACGAUCGGUAGCUGGUCUGAGAGGAUGAUCAGCCACACUGGGACUGAGACACGGCCCAGACUCCUACGGGAGGCAGCAGUGGGGAAUAUUGGACAAUGGGGGCAACCCUGAUCCAGCGAUGCCGCGUGUGUGAAGAAGGCCUGCGGGUUGUAAAGCACUUUCAGUGGGGAGGAGGACUUGGAGGUUAAGAGCUACUAAGUUGGACGUUACCCACAGAAGAAGCACCGGCUAACUCCGUGCCAGCAGCCGCCGUAA
rnacentral:rRNA from 1 species